UACAGAGACCUCAAGCGUUAUCCGGAAUCAUUGGGCGUAAAGCGUACCGAUAGGUGGUUUAAAUAGUUUUGGGUAAAAGCCAGAAGCUUAACUUCUGCGUUUGCUCAAAAUACUUUUAGACUUGAGGGACAAAGAGGUGGCUGGAACGAACGGUGUAGUAGUGAAAUGCGUUGAUAUCGUUCGGAACACCGAAAGCGAAGGCAGGCCACUGGGUGUCACCUGACACUGCUAGGACGAAAGCGUGGGGAGCGAAUGGG
rnacentral:rRNA from 1 species